rnacentral:rRNA from 1 species
UAACGCCGUAAACCCAAGGUUUCCUACGCGAUGCUCGUCAUCGUAGGGUUAGUCGGGUCCUAAGUCGAGUCCGAAAGGGGUAGACGAUGGCAAAUUGGUUAAUAUUCCAAUACCAACAUUAGUGUGCGAUGGAAGGACGCUUAGGGCUAAGGGGGCUAGCGGAUGGAAGUGCUAGUCUAAGGUCGUAGGAGGUUAUACAGGCAAAUCCGUAUAACAAUACUCCGAGAACUGAAAGGCUUUUUGAAGUCUUCGGAUGGAUAGAAGAACCCCUGAUGCCGUCGAGCCAAGAAAAGUUUCUAAGUUUAGCUAAUGUUGCCCGUACCGUAAACCGACACAGGUGGGUGGGAUGAGUAUUCUAAGGCGCGUGGAAGAACUCUCUUUAAGGAACUCUGCAAAAUAGCACCGUAUCUUCGGUAUAAGGUGUGGUUAGCUUUGUAUUAGGAUUUACUCCGAAAGCAAGGAAACUUACAACAAAGAGUCCCUCCCGACUGUUUACCAAAAACACAGCACUCUGCUAACUCGUAAGAGGAUGUAUAGGGUGUGACGCCUGCCCGGUGCUCGAAGGUUAAUUGAUGGGGUUAGCAUUAGCGAAGCUCUUGAUCGAAGCCCGAGUAAACGGCGGCCGUAACUAUAACGGUCCUAAGGUAGCGAAAUUCCUUGUCGGUUAAAUACCGACCUGCAUGAAUGGCGUAACGAGAUGGGAGCUGUCUCAAAGAGGGAUCCAGUGAAAUUGUAGUGGAGGUGAAAAUUCCUCCUACCCGCGGCAAGACGGAAAGACCCCGUGGACCUUUACUACAGCUUGACACUGCUACUUGGAUAAGAAUGUGCAGGAUAGGUGGGAGGCUUUGAGUAUAUGACGCCAGUUGUAUAUGAGCCAUUGUUGAGAUACCACUCUUUCUUAUUUGGGUAGCUAACCAGCUUGAGUUAUCCUCAAGUGGGACAAUGUCUGGUGGGUAGUUUGACUGGGGCGGUCGCCUCCCAAAUAAUAACGGAGGCUUACAAAGGUUGGCUCAGAACGGUUGGAAAUCGUUCGUAGAGUAUAAAGGUAUAAGCCAGCUUAACUGCAAGACAUACAAGUCAAGCAGAGACGAAAGUCGGUCUUAGUGAUCCGGUGGUUCUGUGUGGAAGGGCCAUCGCUCAAAGGAUAAAAGGUACCCCGGGGAUAACAGGCUGAUCUCCCCCAAGAGCUCACAUCGACGGGGAGGUUUGGCACCUCGAUGUCGGCUCAUCGCAUCCUGGGGCUGGAGCAGGUCCCAAGGGUAUGGCUGUUCGCCAUUUAAAGCGGUACGCGAGCUGGGUUCAGAACGUCGUGAGACAGUUCGGUCCCUAUCUGCCGUGGGCGUAAGAAGAUUGAAGAGAUUUGACCCUAGUACGAGAGGACCGGGUUGAACAAACCACUGGUGUAGCUGUUGUUCUGCCAAGAGCAUCGCAGCGUAGCUAAGUUUGGAAAGGAUAAACGCUGAAAGCAUCUAAGCGUGAAGCCAACUCUAAGAUGAAUCUUCUCUAAGCUCUCUAGAAGACUACUAGUUUGAUAGGCUGGGUGUGUAAUGGAUGAAAGUCCUUUAGCUGACCAGUACUAAUAGAGCGUUUGGCUUAUCUUUAAUAAAGCAU